rnacentral:rRNA from 1 species
AGCUCCAAUAGCGUAUAUUUAAGUUGUUGCAGUUAAAAAGCUCGUAGUUGGAUUUCGGUUGAGAGCGGCCGGUCCGCCGUUUGGUGUGCACUGGCUGGUUUCAGCUUCCUGCAGAGGACGCGCUCUGGGCUUAAUCGUCUGGACGUGGAGUCUGCGUGGUUACUUUGAAAAAAUUAGAGUGUUCAAAGCGGGCUUACGCUUGAAUAUUUCAGCAUGGAAUAACACUAUAGGACUCCUGUCCUAUUUCGUUGGUCUCGGGACGGGAGUAAUGAUUAAGAGGAACAGUUGGGGGCAUUCGUAUUUCAAUGUCAGAGGUGAAAUUCUUGGAUUUUUGAAAGACGAACUUCUGCGAAAGCAUUUGCCAAGGAUGUUUUCAUUA